AGGUUAUUGACAAAGUGCCCGCAGCGGCGAAAACAGGUAGAUCAUAAAGACGCCGUAUUCCCUUUGUAAAAAUAAGCGUCCCUGACGGCUCGAGCCGCGCCAUCUCUGGCGCGGACGCUUU
rnacentral:ncRNA from 1 species